rnacentral:rRNA from 1 species
CUGGCUCAGGACGAACGCUGGCGGCGUGCCUAAUACAUGCAAGUCGAGCGAACAGAGAAGGAGCUUGCUCCUUCGACGUUAGCGGCGGACGGGUGAGUAACACGUGGGCAACCUACCUUAUAGUUUGGGAUAACUCCGGGAAACCGGG